GAUGAACGCUGGCGGCGUGCCUAAUACAUGCAAGUCGAGCGAACAGAUGAGGAGCUUGCUCCUCUGACGUUAGCGGCGGACGGGUGAGUAACACGUGGAUAACCUACCUAUAAGACUGGGAUAACUUCGGGAAACCGGAGCCAAUACUGGAUAAUAUAUUGAACCGCAGGGUUCAAUAGUUAAACACGGUUUUGCUGUCUCUUAUAGAUGGAUCCGCGCCGCAUUAGCUAGUUGGUAAGGUAACGGCUUACCAAGGCAACGAUGCGUAGCCGACCUGAGAGGGUGAUCGGCCACACUGGAACUGAGACACGGUCCAGACUCCUACGGGAGGCAGCAGUAGGGAAUCUUCCGCAAUGGGCGAAAGCCUGACGGAGCAACGCCGCGUGAGUGAUGAAGGUCUUCGGAUCGUAAAACUCUGUUAUUAGGGAAGAACAAAUGUGUAAGUAACUAUGCACGUCUUGACGGUACCUAAUCAGAAAGCCACGGCUAACUACGUG
rnacentral:rRNA from 1 species